rnacentral:pre_miRNA from 14 species
AGAUCAAUUUAUGUUGGCUGACUCUGAGUCCAUCUUCCAGUGCAGUGUUGGAUGGUUGAAGUACGAAGCUCCUAACACUGUCUGGUAAAGAUGGCCCCCGGGUCAGUUCCCUCAGCAGUGACCUU